GACGUAGGGUGCAAGCGUUGUCCGGAAUUACUGGGCGUAAAGCGUGCGCAGGCGGCUCAUUAAGACAGGCGUGAAAUCCCCGGGCUUAACCUGGGAACUGCGCUUGUGACUGGUGGGCUGGAGUGUGUCAGAGGGAGGUGGAAUUCCACGUGUAGCAGUGAAAUGCGUAGAGAUGUGGAGGAACACCGAUGGCGAAGGCAGCCUCCUGGGACAACACUGACGCUCAUGCACGAAAGCGUGGGGAGCAAACAGG
rnacentral:rRNA from 1 species